rnacentral:lncRNA from 1 species
UGAGGGCCCACCCCUGCAACUGGCUUGGGGCCAGCCCAGAGGAAGCCCCAGAGCGCAAGCGUAGACCAGCCCAGGGACAUUCCCAACUAACAAGAAAACCCAGCUGGGAGCACAUUCUUAGAAGAGCCUCCAUGAUGCGCCAGGGCCCAGCCUCCAGGAAAGAAGUGGGAGCCACUCCAAAGGACACUCCCCAGCUCUGUCCUGCAAGGACUUCCUCCCUGUCCCACACUGGGCUGCCUGAUCCAGGAACAGCAUGGGGAGUGGACGCAAGAGAUACUGAAAAGUCAGUUACCCUGAAGGAACCCUGCUCAUCUUGGCGCAGCACAACCUUUCGUUCAGACUAAACUUCCAAAUUUGGGCCAUCUCAGAGAGAGGAAAGGGGGCACAUGGAUGCUCAGGAAAGGAGGACUCAGAGACUAUUCCCUGCUUGGCAGGAGGAGAAGUCUAUAGCCACAGAAGGCAGAAGAGGGUGUGCAAAGAAAGCUGCGGCCUUUCCGGGAAAGACCUGCAGCACCCCUUCUUCACACAGCACGGGAAAGAGAGGAGUACUGAGCUCCAGUUCCUGGGAGGUAAUUGUUGAGAAAGAAACACUCCAGGAAGCAAAGGACCUUGGACAAGUUUUCAAACUCCAGGUUCCAGUGAGGGUAGAGUUUUAUUUCAGAGGCUUCCUAGCAUCGCAUUGGCUCUCUGCUCUGGAUUCUGUUUGGAGUGGCCCAGCACUGCGCUGCAUAGUCCUCCCCUAUGUCCAGACCAUUAAAAUCUUCCAAAGGUAAAUUUUAUGGUAUAUCAAUUAUAUCUCAAUAAAGCUGUUGAAAAAUAAAAGCUUCCAAGGAAGCCAGGAUCUCAACACCACCCUGACCUGCCCCAGGCCUGCAUGCCUUUUUCCACUGUCCCUUCUCUGCUAGGAUCUUUCCAUCUAGGCCACCACAUGUAGUGUGGUAAGUGCUUAAACUUUAGAGUGUGAGGAAUCAGGGGAACAAAUACUGUUGAGGGCAUCACAAAAUGCCAGGUUUCAUAUUGUGUUCCUACUGUCAAUUCCCUUUGCAGAAUAAAGGUCCUACCUCCAGGACGUCAUUGCCUACGGUUAUAACCGAAGAAAGAGAAAGUUGUAAAAAUAAUAAGGAACCAGGACUGAGGUUGGGUCUUGUCUAACUAAAAUAAACCUAUUGCAUGAUCUUAGGAAAGUUGCCGCUAAACCUUCUCUGAGCUUCACUUUUUUUUUUGGCUCCCAAUAGAUGUGCCAUGUUGGUUGCAUGAACAAGGAAAGAGUGCCCAAGUUCAAGGGGCCUGAAAGGAUCAACUGGACAAAAGAGUGUUUUACAACUGCAGCAUGCUAUGUAAGCAUAAGGGCUUAUACCUGUUAUUCUUAACUAUUUUAC